UACCAUGCAAGUCGAGCGGUAGCACAGGAGAGCUUGCUCUCUGGGUGACGAGCGGCGGACGGGUGAGUAAUGUCUGGGAAACUGCCUGAUGGAGGGGGAUAACUACUGGAAACGGUAGCUAAUACCGCAUAACGUCUUCGGACCAAAGUGGGGGACCUUCGGGCCUCACGCCAUCAGAUGUGCCCAGAUGGGAUUAGCUAGUAGGUGGGGUAAUGGCUCACCUAGGCGACGAUCCCUAGCUGGUCUGAGAGGAUGACCAGCCACACUGGAACUGAGACACGGUCCAGACUCCUACGGGAGGCAGCAGUGGGAAAUAUUGCACAAUGGGCGCAAGCCUGAUGCAGCCAUGCCGCGUGUGUGAAGAAGGCCUUCGGGUUGUAAAGCACUUUCAGCGAGGAGGAAGGGUGGUGUGUUAAUAGCACAUUACAUUGACGUUACUCGCAGAAGAAGCACCGGCUAACUCCGUGCCAGCAGCCGCGGUAAUACGGAGGGUGCAAGCGUUAAUCGGAAUUACUGGGCGUAAAGCGCACGCAGGCGGUUUGUUAAGUCAGAUGUGAAAUCCCCGCGCUUAACGUGGGAACUGCAUUUGAAACUGGCAAGCUAGAGUCUUGUAGAGGGGGGUAGAAUUCCAGGU
rnacentral:rRNA from 1 species